AGCGGUAAAAAGCUCAAAUUUGAAACCCUCGGGAUUGUAAUUUGAAGAUUUGGCAUUGGGAAAAGCUAACCCAAGUUGCUUGGAAUAGUACGUCGUAGAGGGUGAGAACCCCGUGUGGCUAACCGUUUCCCAUGUAUUGCCUUAUCAAAGAGUCGAGUUGUUUGGGAAUGCAGCUCUAAGUGGGUGGUAAACUCCAUCUAAAGCUAAAUAUUGGCGAGAGACCGAUAGCGAACAAGUACUGUGAAGGAAAGAUGAAAAGAACUUUGAAAAGAGAGUGAAAUAGUAUGUGAAAUUGUUGAUAGGGAAGGGAAUGAGUGUAGCGUGGGUGAGGUUUCAAUUAUCUCUCGAGGUGAUGUACUGCCAAACCCGAGUCAAGGAGUGGGAAAAAGGGGUUAUAAAUGCAAACUCUCGAGUCUGCACCUAACCCCCGCCCUCCACUCCUCGACAUAAUACACCCAUUCCACCCGUCUUGA
rnacentral:rRNA from 1 species